GACGAACGCUGGCGGCGUGCCUAAUACAUGCAAGUAGAACGCGUUGCGAACGGGUGAGUAACGCGUGGGACCCUGCCUCAUUGCGGGGGAUAACAAUUGGAAACGAUAGCUAAUACCGCAUAGCAAUGGAUGGACCUGCGUUGUAUUAGCUAUUUGGUGAGGUAAAGGCUCACCAAGGCGACGAUACAUAGCCGCACUGAGAGGGUGAUCGGCCACACUGGGACUGAGACACGGCCCAGACUCCUACGGGAGGCAGCAGUGGGGAAUAUUGCACAAUGGGCGCAAGCCUGAUGCAGCCAUGCCGCGUGUAUGAAGAAGGCCUUCAGGUUGUAAAGUACUUUCCGCGAGGAGGCGUUACUCGCAGAAGAAGCACCGGCUAACUACGUGCCAGCAGCCGCGGUAAUUC
rnacentral:rRNA from 1 species